UGUAGUUGGGGGCAGUGGAUUUAUUCAUUUAUUGAGACGAAAUGAAGCGUUGAGAAAUGUUUCCGGAUAUUUGAACAUAAACAUCAUGUACAGUUUCGGGAUAUAUCCAAAUUGUAUGUUUGUACAAAGGUAUGACAGUGUAUUUUCUAUACUGGUUGGCGACCCAGAUUCGGACAAUUUUACAACCUUUUCAGCUGUCAUAUUUUCAUUUUCAAUGCAAGAUCCAUGAAAUGUUACCUGAAUCAAGUUCAGUUCUUCGGUGACGCAAAACGCCAAUUUGUUUGUAUAUAAAAAUAAACUGAACACGUCACUGAGGCCCGAAAGAGGGUACGUAAAUCUAACUUUUUUAGCGUGUUGCAGGACCCAGAAAUUGGACAGUAAGAAAACGCUAAUUAUCAUCAUUUUUGUCUCGCAGAAUCACGUUUAGGUCGGUGUUAAUGAUAAAAAGACAUGUUUACCUUGUUUACAUUCAACUAUUAAUGUUUGAUAUAAGGCUGUCAAAAGUUUAAAAUAUCCGGCUGGCCUAUAUACGACACAAAAUUUAAGGUAAAACAACUUGGUUUAAACACAUUGAACUCGUGUUAUUAUCGGGAAAACCUUGACACUUGUUUUAAAACACGCAAUUUUCUCGUCUGCAUUUAGCAGAUUGUAGAUGAGUACCCCUUGAAUAAUGUUGGGGCCUCAAAACAAGUAUGCGCAUGCGCACUGAAAGCACAUGCAGCUUCCCCCAGCGAGAGCUGUCACAACAUUUCGUGAACAAAUGUAAAUAUUCAAAUUUUGUAAGUUUUACUUACCGAUUUGCAAUUAUUGCAGAUGAUGUUGCACAUAAUGCAAGCGUCUUUGUACUUGUCAACAAAUGAUCAAAUAUAACACAAAAAUAAGCGUUUACGCGACUGUCCGAUUUCCUGGGUCGCCCGAAAUUCUGGGUCGCCAACCAGUACCAUAAUUAAUCAGCAUCAACUCUGUCACUUUUGAACCAAUCAAACACACAGUCGAGGGUACUACGUCAUAUUGCAUGUGUUUUCUUUAACAAAUAUGGGAUUAGGUAAACACAGCCAUAUGUUGUUACACUACGUGUGACAAUUUUAUGUUAUCGGGCAUAUGUUUAUGGGAAUCAGAUAUGCAGCCGUCACAGCCUGCUGAUGAAGUUCCUCAGCUUAUACAGGGGUCAGGCUUGAGCUAAGUGCUGAUUCAAAAGAUGCUAAUGACAGUAGAUAAUCCAUUCUAAGUUGUUCUAGGACCAUUCACCAACGUUUCAAAACACUGAUGGAACUGAAGGCAGUACAUGUACUGGUGUCUGGCCUGUGAUUUCAAGUAUAACUAGUACUCACGCCUUGGAGGAUUGUGGAAACUAUGGUCGUUCGGUAUUAGAACUCGUGACAUAAGGAUCACAAUGCGCCAUAUUUGAAUUCGCGCCUUGGACAUCUUUAUUGCGGUAUAAGAAAGUUUUAUCUCAAUUUAAUUAACAAAAUAAAUAAAUAAAAGAAACAAUUGGCUUCUGCUUCUUUAGUCUUUAGCGGUUGUUUAUUUCUUAAAAUGAAAUAUUUUUAACUGUCCUCCCACUACUAGUCCGAUAAAUUUGACGCGAUUUUAGGAAAUAUCGAGGUAUUUUUCUUUUGGGCAAUAUAAAAAUUGCAUGUCACAAAAAUAAAACAAUCUGACCGUCAAAUUAUUUUGACUACUCCUACUACCUGAAUACAAAUAUUGCCCCUACGUUAUAAAGUAUUUUGUUAUAUCAUAUAUUUGUAAGCAAUGUGAUUUUUAGGAUGUAUAUGAAAGAAUUUUAUUUAUUUUAUGCUAACUGGUGAAAUACUGUGUUUAAUCAGUGAGAUAUAAUCCAUAUCACUCACUGCAUACCACUCACUGUAAAUGAUAUAGCUGUGCCGAUCUACUUGUACAUUGUGUAUAAAUUUUAAAUUAUUUGCAUAAAACAGGAUGAAAAUUGUAGCCGCACUUUGUUCUCUAUAGUAUAUUUCUCAUUUCAAGUUAUUUUACUUAAUGAG